rnacentral:rRNA from 1 species
AUUGAACGCUGGCGGCAUGCUUUACACAUGCAAGUCGAACGGCAGCGCGGGCUUCGGCCUGGCGGCGAGUGGCGAACGGGUGAGUAAUGCAUCGGAACGUGCCCAGUAGUGGGGGAUAGCCCGGCGAAAGCCGGAUUAAUACCGCAUACGACCUGAGGGUGAAAGCGGGGGACCGAAAGGCCUCGCGCUAUUGGAGCGGCCGAUGUCGGAUUAGCUAGUUGGUGGGGUAAAGGCUUACCAAGGCGACGAUCCGUAGCUGGUCUGAGAGGACGACCAGCCACACUGGGACUGGGACACGGCCCAGACUCCUACGGGAGGCAGCAGUGGGGAAUUUUGGACAAUGGGGGCAACCCUGAUCCAGGCAUGCCGCGUGCGGGAAGAAGGCCUUCGGGUUGUAAACCGCUUUUGUUCGGGAAGAAAUCCUCUGGGCUAAUACCCCGGGGGGAUGACGGUACCGGAAGAAUAAGCACCGGCUAACUACGUG